UACGUAGGGUGCGAGCGUUAAUCGGAAUUACUGGGCGUAAAGCGUGCGCAGGCGGUUGUGCAAGACAGAGGUGAAAUCCCCGGGCUUAACCUGGGAAUGGCCUUUGUGACUGCACGGCUAGAGUGUGCCAGAGGGGGGUAGAAUUCCACGUGUAGCAGUGAAAUGCGUAGAGAUGUGGAGGAAUACCGAUGGCGAAGGCAGCCCCCUGGGAUAACACUGACGCUCAUGCACGAAAGCGUGGGGAGCAAACAGG
rnacentral:rRNA from 1 species